CCUUCGGGAAGCGAGCGUACACAGGUGCUGCAUGGCUGUCGUCAGCUCGUGUCGUGAGAUGUUGGGUUAAGUCCCGCAACGAGCGCAACCCUUGUGUUUUAGUUGCAAACAGGUCAAGCUGUGCACUCUAGACAGACUGCCGUGGACAACACGGAGGAAGGUGGGGAUGACGUCAAAUCAUCAUGCCCCUUAUGAUCUGGGCUACACACGUGCUACAAUGGCCGGUACAACGGGCAGCGAAGGAGCGAUCCGGAGCGAAUCCUAAAAAGCCGGUCCCAGUUCGGAUUGCAGGCUGAAACUCGCCUACAUGAAGUUGGAGUUGCUAGUAAUCGCGAAUCAGAAUGUCGCGGUGAAUGCGUUCCCGGGUCUU
rnacentral:rRNA from 1 species